rnacentral:rRNA from 1 species
GUAGUGGCGACGACCGGGAAUUAGCCCAGCACUUAAUCCUGUACUGUUAAUUGGUACUCGGCCGAUAGUGUAAAGGUUGCGUCUUUGACAAUGUAUCUCCACCCGAUUCCCUUGACUGUGAUGUUGUCCAGAGAGGGUGUCAGACCCGUUGGAGUGUGAGAAACUGUCAAUGAUGCUUCCUAUGAGUCGGAUUGUUUGAGAAUGCAGUCCAAAUUGGGUGGUAAACCUCAUCUAAGGCUAAAUACUUGUGCUAGUCCGAUAGAAAACAAGUACCGUGAGGGAAAGUUGAAAAGAACUUUGAAGAGAGAGUUAAAUAGUACGUGAAAUCGCUUAGAGGUAAACGAGUGGAGCCGAAAAUGUCGUGUGGGAUUCAGUUGCUUGUGGUUUGUCGUGGCAUUGGGGAUAUCUUUAACGAGAAUAACCAGUGUCAUUAUCAUCAGAUUGCAAGCGAUGCACUUUCCAUUCAACAGAGCUGCGAUCGGUAGCGUUGGUUUUCUGUCGUCGGAUUGCAGGUGAUCAUUUCUUCGGAAGUGGUUUUAUAGCUUCCAACACGGUCAACUGAUUUACCGGUUAUUACCAUCAGUCAACGUUGGUGAUGUCAAUGAGAUUUGUUUGAUAGUCAACUCUAAUAGAGAUUUCCGUCAAGUCUUUCCUGUUGGCGUUUUCAAUGGAUUGGUGAAAAUGAGCAGUGUAUAUGUAGGUUACCUACUCGUCCCGUCUUGAAACACGGACCAAGGAGUUUUAUAUGAUCGCGAGUCAAAGGGCAUUACGAAACCCCACGGCGCAAUAAAAGUAAAGGCUUGCUUUGGUAAGCUGAGAUGUGACCUCAAUCUUGUUUCCCGUCAAACCGGAAAUGAGAGAGAGAGCAACAUUGACCCGUCUAAAGACUCUCGAGUCUGGGCGGAGUUUGAGCGAUGAUGUAGAGACCCGAAAGAUGGUGAACUAUGCUUGUGCAGGUUGAAGUCAGAGGAAACUCUGAUGGAGGACCGAAGCGGUUCUGACGUGCAAAUCGAUCGUCGGACAUGAGUAUAGGGGCGAAAGACUAAUCGAACCAUCUAGUAGCUGGUUCCCUCCGAAGUUUCCCUCAGGAUAGCUGGCAUUUACAUGAAAUAUUAUGUAGUUUGACCUGGUAAAGCGAAUGAUUAGAAGUAUUGGGGACGAAAUGUUUUCAACUUAUUCUCAAACUUUAAAUAGGUUCGAAGUGCUACUCGCUUAAUUGGAGUAGUACAUGGAAUACAAAUGCCUAGUGGGCCAUUUUUGGUAAGCAGAACUGGCGAUGUGGGAUGAACCAAACAUUCGGUUAAGGUGCCUAACACCACGCUCAUGAGAUACCACAAAAGGUGUUGGUUGAUAAAGACAGCAGGACGGUGGACAUGGAAGUCGUCACCCGCUAAGGAGUGUGUAACAACUCACCUGCCGAAUCAACCAGCCCUGAAAAUGGAUGGCGCUGUAGCGUGGGACCUAUACCGGAUCAGUGGCGCAAGAGAGAAUUUAAUCGUUUUCCCAUAAGGGCGCCACUGUGUAGGAGGGUGCCGUGGUUGCCAAACUAGUUGGCUGGCGUGAGACAGAGUGGAGCGACCAGCGGGUACAUCUUGUAGUUACAUUAUUCAUGAAUCCUUGAA